UCAGAAGCCACUUCACCUGUUGGUAGAACGUAGGGAGGUGGAACCAGUGCAUUGCUUGAGCUACGGUGACCAAAUCGAAAGUGGAUUCUGAUCCAAUCUUCUCUUGGAGCUCAUCCAUGGACAUGCCUGGGGAAGUGCAUUGGAAAAGGAGACAGAGAGAGAGAGAGGACUAACUGAGCAGGCUGCUUGGCCAGUGCCGGUGCCGGCAUCCCAUGCUAGUUCAUGAGAGGGGGUAUUGGAAGCAAUGAAAUGAAAGAGUUCUUCUGGGUAAUUAGGCCUUCCCCCAGAAUACUGUUUUGACUGAUAACUAGGAUUAUACCCAGAGUUCUGCUUGAUCAACAAAUCUGCCAUACUCUCUGUGUGUGUUUGUGAUAAUUGGAAGAGUGAGAUUAAUGUCAAGCAUGUGUGUUAGAUAAUAUAGUAGUAGUAGUGGGUGCAAUGUCAUUGUUCAUUGCUGGGGAAGGUUCAUCUAGUGUAGUUGGUCAAAGUAGAGAAACAAGAUUUGUCUUCUGCUUUCUUUAUAGCCACACACCAAUAAGUCCACUACAAUCUUUGACCAA